UGAAACUCAUCACGGUUAUCUCGAAUCAGACCAUGGAGGUUAUCUGGAAGAGAAGGGAGAAGCAAAUUAAGGAACUUAUCAACAUCAAUGGUAUCGGUAUUGUUCUCAGCCAUAAUUGUAUGAGAAAAAAGAGCGAUUUCAGAAAUGCAGAUUCGAUCGAAUUUAGAUUUUAGAAAGAUAGGGAAAACAAAAUACUCUAAAAUCUUUGAAACCCUAUUUUUAUCUUCUUCUUUUAUUUUUUUUUAUUAUUUUUUUUACAAAAAACGCGUGGUGGUGUUGGUGGUGGACCCCUCUUCAUAUUUUAUUUGAAUAAGAUUGCCACCGUUGAUAUUAUAUUAUUUUUUGCCUUCGAUCGAUUAAUAGCUUUGUAACCCUUUGUUUCUAUUCAUUUUCAGAUUCAAGAUGGAGCUGAUUUUCAGAAAGAAGAUAGAACGACUGUUUGCCUCCGCCGUCGAUCUCUCCGUAGCUAGAAAUAAUUUGUAUGUCUCCUCCGUCAUCGGCAUCAUCCUUUGCCUGCUUCCCCGUAAAAAUAUAGGAGGAAAUCUCUUCGAGGGACAGCCAUCGGCCUUCUAUGCCCUGGUAAUAUCUGUCGUAUUUACUUUCACCGGUUCGUUCACGGCGUUGAUGAUAGGAGAUAACUCCAAGACUUCAAGAUUCUGCACACUUUAUUCCUUGGUCGCCAUGAUUUUAGCUUCAUCAAUUCUCGCUCAUGUGUUUUUAACAUGAAUAGGUGCCUUCUACUUCUCUUACAAUAACCAUAUCUCUUCUUCUGCAUCUGGCGUUGAGUCUUUGGAUCUGGUGAUUGUAGGAUCUAGCCUUGGUUUUUUUUUUUUUUUUCUUUUGAAUGAAGUAUCUGGUUAUUAUCGGCGAGUUAUUGGGUAGUAAACGGACUCUAUGUUCUUUAAUUCUCCUGCAUUAAGCAAGAAAUUAU
rnacentral:lncRNA from 1 species